GAGAGACAAAAGGUUUAGGAUAGAAUGCAGUGUUACUAUAGAAAUGGGGUGUUACUAUAGAAAUAGUGUUACCAUAGAAAUGAGGUGUUACUAUAGAAAUGGGGUGUUACUAUAGAAAUAGGGUGUUACUAUAGAAAGGAGCUGUAACUAUAGAAAUGGGGUGUUACUAUAGAAACAGGGUGUUACUAUAGAAAUGGAGUGUUACUAUAGAAACAGGGUGUUACUCUAGAAAUGGGGUGUUACUAUAGAAACAGGGUGUACCUCUAAAAAUGGGGUGUUACUAUAGAAAGGAGCUGUAACUAUAGAAAUUGGGUGUUACUAUAGAAACAGGGUGUUACUAUAGAAAUGCGGUGUUACUAUAGAAACAGGGUGUUACUAUAGAAAUAUGGUGUUACUAUAGAAACGGGGUGUUACUAUAGAAAUGUGGUGUUAGUAUAAAAACAGGGUGUUACUAUAGAAACAGGGUGUUACUAUAGAAACAGGGUGUUACUAUAGAAAUGGGGUGUUACUAUAGAAAUGGGGUGUUACUAUAGAAAUUGGGUGUUACUAUAGAAAGGAGCUGUAACUAUAGAAAUAUGGUGUUACUAUAGAAAUGGGGUGUUACUAUAGAAAUUGGGUGUUAGUAUAAAAACAGGGUGUUACUAUAGAAACAGGGUGUUACUAUAGAAAGGAGCUGUAACUACAGAUUUGAGGUACUAUAGAAACAAGCUGUUACUAUAGUAACCUGUCUUGGAAUUACAAAUGGAGCUACUUCUCAUAUAGAAAACUAUUCAUCACCUUCUAACCAAUCAGCUUUAAUAUUUCAGAUUCUAAAAUGAUUUGCAGUGAGCUCACCGCAGUAUCUCCAGUUUACAGUGUGAACUCUUCAGUCCAUCAGCGAGCAGCUUCACUCCCGAGUCCUGCAGGUCGUUGUUACUGAGGUCCAGUUCUCUCAGGGGGGACUUUUCUAACUGCAGAGCUGAAGUGAAGGUUUCACAGGAACUCAAGUUCCUCUCUAACUUGCUAGAAAGUGUGAGAUCAUCCAGAUUCGGACUCACCCGCUUUGAGGGACGGGGUGUUUCAUAUUCAGGCUUGGAGGCUUCUCUAUGGACCUACCACUCUUCAUGGACACGCAGCUGGGUGCUGGAGAAAAGCAGCAACAAAAACAACGACUGCGAAGCAGCUUGAUUUCAUGAGAAGCUGGAGUCGGAAUCUGAGCGAGGGUGAAAAAUGUACUCAUGUGGGUUUGCACUCACCUGCUCUCAGGGACGGCGCCAUCUUUAUCCAGGCUUGGAGGCUGCUCUAUGGAGUUGUCACUCUUCAUGGACACGCAGCUGGGAGCUGGAGAUUCUGUCAUGAACCUGUGUUCCUUCCACAUGAUUGCUCAAAGGAAGCAUCAUCCUGGAGGUAACCCCAUUAAACAUCAUGAUGAUGAUGCAUCUGCUGAUGCUGCUGAUGAUUCUGAUGAUGCUCUCCGGUCAAAGUGAAUGUUACAUUGAACCGCU